CCAAACUGGUCGAGAGCACCUCCGGGAGGGAAACGUUUUCCUCUCUAGAUCCUUCGCUUGGGAGGUUGUAGCAUGCUAAUCUACUGCCUCAUGUGUGGCCUAACUGAUGAAUCUGCAGGCCAAGUCCAUGUUUGGGACUGACCCGAGGGGAGGGGUCUGCUUUUAGUAGCACAUAGUACUGCUCUCUUAUUUUGGUCUACAAUAGGAUUGCACAAUCGUAUGAAGUGAUUAGGAGUUUGCACGGAUGGAUAGGGUCUGGUAAAUGUUUAGUGUUUGAAGUUAUCAUUUCUGAGUAGCCUGUAAGAGGAUUAGACACAUGUGAACCGCUUAGCAAUUUUGGCAGCCAGGUCUGGUCUGGUACAUGUCAAGUGUCUAGCAUUAUCAUAUCGGUGUGUCCAGUAAGCAAUAUCUUUUAAGCAUACCUGCCAUUGAUUGAGUCGUUUUUUCUUGACUCAGCUAUUUGGAUUUUAAUAAUGCACCACUUAACAGUUAGUGACAGAUAACAUUCUUGCUUGAUCAUUAUAUAUAUGCUGCCAUGAACAUUUAAGAUUAUUAUCCGGCACUGAACAAGUUAAAUCUUGCUGAACAUGUUGUGCUCAUGUCUCGUUUGUACAACUGUAGAUGAAGGUUUCUUGUUUUGCAUUUCUUCUUAGAAGCAAACACUUGUAGAGCAAAUCUUUCAUAUAUAUGAUAUACUACUUGAUAACUUGGACAGGUGAGGAUUGGUCUUGACACGGCCCAUGCCAGAGAAACUACCAACUAUGUACAGGACCCUGGGGAGAACUACAAUGAGAGAGUUUUGCCUUCAAUCAUUCAUGAAACACUCAAAGCUGUGGUUGCACAAUACAAUGCCACUCAGCUUAUCACACACAGAGAGGCUGUGAGCAGGGAGAUCAGGAAGAUUCGGACAGAGAGGGCCAAGAAUUUCAAUAUUGCUCUGGAUGAUGUUUCCGAGUUCACUCAUGCCCUUGAAGCCAAACAGGUUGCUGCGCAGGAAGCUGAGUGUGCCAAGUUCAUUGUUGACAAGGCUGAGCAAGACAAGAAAAGUGCAAUUAUCAGGGCACAGGCAGGCUGCAUGCAUCCGUGGGCUGUCCCUCGAGACUAUACAUAAACAAGACAUCAUUUUUUGACAUGGAGACGUCAACUUGAGAAGUUAUUGAAAGGAUGUCUAGUGACA